GAUGAACGCUGGCGGCGUGCCUAAUACAUGCAAGUCGAGCGAACGGACGAGAAGCUUGCUUCUCUGAUGUUAGCGGCGGACGGGUGAGUAACACGUGGAUAACCUACCUAUAAGACUGGGAUAACUUCGGGAAACCGUAGCUAAUACCGGAUAAUAUUUUGAACCGCAUGGUUCAAAAGUGAAAGACGGUCUUGCUGUCACUUAUAGAUGGAUCCGCGCUGCAUUAGCUAGUUGGUAAGGUAACGGCUUACCAAGGCAACGAUGCAUAGCUGACCUGAGAGGGUGAUCGGCCACACUGGAACUGAGACACGGUCCAGACUCCUACGGGAGGCAGCAGUAGGGAAUCUUCCGCAAUGGGCGAAAGCCUGACGGAGCAACGCCGCGGGAGUGAUGAAGGUCUUCGGAUCGUAAACCUCUGUUAUUAGGGAAGAACAUAUGUGUAAGGAACUGGGCACAUCUUGACGGUACCUAAUCAGAAAGCCACGGCUAACUACGUG
rnacentral:rRNA from 1 species